rnacentral:rRNA from 1 species
UAGUCCACGCCGUAAACGAUGUGUACUAGAUAUUGGAGAUAUUGACUCUUCAGUGUCGUAGCUAACGCAAUAAGUACACCGCCUGGGAAGUACGGUCGCAAGACUAAAGCUCAAAGGAAUUGACGGGGGCCCGCACAAGCGGUGGAUUAUGUGGUUUAACUCGAAGCAACGCGCAGAACCUUACCUAGGCUUGAAAUCCCGAGAAGAUCGACCAAAAUUGAUUGUGCUCUUCGGAGAACUCGGUGACAGGCGCUGCAUGGCUGUCGUCAGCUCGUGUCGUGAGAUGUUGGGUUAAGUCUCGCAACGAGCGCAACCCCUAUCCUUAGUUGCCAGCAUUAAGUUGGGCACUCUAGGGAGACUGCCUGGGUUAACCAGGAGGAAGGUGGGGAUGACGUCAAGUCCUCAUGGCCCUUAUGUCUAGGGCUACACACGUAAUACAAUGGUGCAUACAAAGGGAGCGACUCGCGAGAGUGAGCAAAUCUACAAAAAGUGCAUCUA